rnacentral:rRNA from 1 species
GACGAACGCUGUCGGCGUGCUGAACUCAUGUAAGUCGAACGGAAAUGCCCAGCUUUUGUGGUGUGCUCGAGUGGCGAACGGGUGAGUAACACGUGAGUAACCUGCCCGUGACUUUGUGAUAACUUCAGGAAACUGGGGCGAAUACCGGAUAUGAGCUCCUCCUGCAUUGGGGGGUGUGGAAAUAUUCGGUGGUUGGGGAUGGACUCGCGGCUCAUCAGCUUGUUGGUGGGGUAGUGGCUUACCAAGGCUGAGACGGGUAGCCGGCCUGCGCGGGAGACCGGCCAUAUUGGGACAGUGGCACGGCACAGCCUGGUACGGGGGGCAGAAGUGGGGAAUACUGAACUAUGGGUGGCAGCCCGACGCAGCAUCGCCGCGUGCGCGAUGGAGGCCUUCGGGUUGUCACCCGCUUUCGCCUGUCAUGAAGCGUGAGUGACGGUCAUGGGUCAAGAGGCUGCGGAUGAGUAGGUC